AUGACUGCUAGAGUUACUGGAACUACUUGAACCGUCAAUGACUGCAAGUAACUCUAGCAGUCAUUGACGGUUUAAGUAGUUCCAGUAACUCUAGCAGUCAU
rnacentral:pre_miRNA from 1 species